ACCAUCAGUGCCCCUCCCGAGAUUUUGUCCUGGAUCCACGCCAUCAGGGUGGCGGUCCGGUGACCAGGACCCAGACACUGUCCGGGUGGCGGUCGGACGACCGGGACCCAAUAUGCCUGAUGUUGAAAGUAGGAAUCAUAGUGUGGAAGUGGAUUGGCAGGGUAACCGCACGCCCCCUGGUGUUGAGCACCAGCGUUUGUGCGGCCACAUAC